rnacentral:tRNA from 2 species
GUGGGUAUAGCUCAAUUGGUAGAGCUCCAGGUUGUGAUCCUGGCUGUCAUGGGUUCGAUUCCCAUUACUCACCCCA